rnacentral:tRNA from 1 species
UGGGAUAUCGCCAAGCGGUAAGGCAACGGACUUUGACCGUCAUUCGCAGGUUCGAAUCCUGCUAUCCCAG